rnacentral:lncRNA from 1 species
CCUUCCUCGGCCCUCCGGGCUCUUCUUUUCUCUUCUCUUCUCUUCUCUUUUCUUUUCUUUUCUUUUCUUUUCUUUUCUUUUCUUUUCUUUUCUUUUCUUUUCUUUUCUUUUCUUUUCUUUUCUUUUCUUUUCUUUUCUUUUCUUUUCUUUUCUUUUCUUUUCUUUUCUUUUCUCUUCUCUUCUCUUCUCUUCUUUUCUUCUCUCUUCUUCUCUUCUCUUUUCUUCUUUUCUUCUCUCUUCUUUUCUUCUCUUCUCUUUUCCUUUCUUUUAUUCCCUCUCCUCUCCUCUCCUCUCCUCUCCUCUCCUCUCCUCUCCUCUCCUCUCCUCUCCUCUCCUCUCCUCUCCUCUCCUCUCCUCUCCUCUCCUCUCCUCUCCUCUCUUCUCUUCCUAUUCCCCCCCGCGCAUCCCUGCGUUGCCCGACGUUACACCGCGAUUUUUUCCAUCACAUCAAAGGGAGAUUUUUUUUUAUUUAUUUAUUUAUUUAUUUAAUAUAUGAUUUUUAAAGCACUUUGAAAACCGUCCAGGCGUUGACGCUCCUCUCCGUUUCGCGGUCCCCGAGCUCAGCCGCCAAGUGCGCUCCUGGAAAACGGCGUUGGGACCGCGGAGGGACCGCGGAGCAUCAGUCCCAAAUGCUCACAACCACCGCCGGCGGUUCCUCGCCCCCAGAGCCCCCUCCGCUUCAGGAGGAGCUGGGAAGUCCCGGCUGAGGGAAGCUGUUGGUGCCCAGCAUCAGAGAGAGGGAUGGGAAAGGUUUUGUUUUAUAAAAAGGGGGAAGGAAAUGGGAUUCGAUCUCUCCAUCCCCACCGGCGCGUCCCGACGCCGUCCGAAAAGUUUGCAUAGAGAGGACGAGAAGUGAAAGCUCCCCACCCCCACCCCCCCCCCCCAUCCCAUGGGCACGGGGAGCGAGCGGGAGGCAGAGGAGCGACGGAGGCUGAAGGCUUCUUCCUAAAAGGCGGAGUCCUUGAGGUCAUUUCAGCCUUUUCGUCAGCGUGGAUGUAAAGGAAAGCUCAGCGGCCGGGAGCUGCCCCGAGGUGCCCAGCCCUGCGCCCGCUGUACCACGCCGGGGCCGACCGUGAGGCCCGAGGGUGGCAGCCCCGCUGUGCGACCGCUGCCGCUUCUGUGUCACGUAGCGGGCGGAACAGUGAGGUCGGGGAAGGGGGGGGGGGGGGGCGGCGAUCAGCUCCUUGAUCUGUCCCAGAGGAAAGCAGCCCGCGGCCCGUGGUGACUUUUGCCUUUGAGGCAUCCAGUGGGUAGGGAGCGGUCGGUGCGCCUUCGGGAAGAGGCGUGCGGCUCUGAAAACGUCGGAGGGGGGAGAGGGGGGGGCGGGGGAGGGAGGAGGGAAGAGAGAAAGAAAGAGGGAAGAAAAAGAAAAAAGAAAGAAGAUAGAAAGAAAGAGAAAGGGGGAGAGAGAGAGAGAGAAAAGAAAAGAAGAAAGAAGGAAAGAAGGAAAGAAAGGAGGAGGGAAGGAGGGAAGGAGGGAAGGAAGGAAAGAAAGGAAAGAAAGGAAGAAAGGAAGAAAGGAAGAAAGAAAGGAAGAAAGGAAGAAAGGAAGAAAGAAAGAGAGAGAGAAAGAGAGAAAGAGAGAGAGAAAGAAAGAAAGAGAGAAAGAAAGAAAGAAAGAAAGAAAGAAAGAAAGAAAGAAAGAAAGAAAGAAAGAAAGAAAGAAAGAAAGAAAGAAAGAAAGAAAGAAAGAAAGAAAGAAAGAAAGAAAGAAAAGGAAAUAAAAAAGGAAAAGAAGGAAAAAAAAAAGAGAGAGAAAAAAAGGCACCCUACACCUCGCUGAGCCCUUCCCCUCACGGCUCGCCCCCCGCUCGCUGCAGCACCCUUCUUCUCACUAAAACCGACCCCACUGAACGCGUUCCCGGUGCCUCCCGCUCCCUUUCCCCCAACACUUGGAGGACUGCGCGCUGCCCGCCCGCCCUCCGCCCGGCCCCGAGCUCUCCCCGCAGGAUCUCCGGUCCUGGCCUCUCCCAUCGGCCGCGUCCGGCCCCGGGGCAGCUCGAGGAACCCAUUUCGGGCGGCGGUUUUGACUUCCCGCACACAAAAAAACGCUCCGUCUUUUCGGUGACACCGCGCGCUGUCCGCCUUCGAACGGGGAGACGUUCGUUCGUUUUAUUUCUCGCCGUAAGGACGAGGAGAGACAGGGAUCCGGAGGGCGCAGCCCGAGCCAGGAGCCACGGAAAGCCGCUUUCAUUUCAUUCCUCCGGAGCCGUCCGGGAGCGGUACCGCGCCCCGCUGCCCCAUCGCCGCGGGCCGAGCGCGUUCCGCGGGGUCCCUUCG